UAAAUAAUUAAUUAUAUAGCAAUAUGAUUAUAUCUUUCUCUCUCUAACACACUCCGUCUCUCUCCAUCUCAUCUCUAUCCCCUUCUCUGUACAUUUUAGCUCCACCUUCCAUUCACACACUUCAUUACACACUGUAUAUUCACCUUCGUCCACCACACCCCCUUCCAACACCACAGCCUCCUUCCACCACCACCACCACCCCUUCGUCCACCACAGCUCCGGCACACCAAAUUUACAUCUAUAAAUCCAAAUCUAUAACUACCGAUCGUCUCCUUCCUCAUCUCGGUAACAGAUCUAACAAAUCUCACACUAACUUUUGCUUUUUCAAACAACAAUUUUAUAUAAUAAUGAUAAUAAUGUAAGAAUUGAUAUCAAUUUCAACAACCGAUUAAAGGUUUCUAAUGGAGUCUGCAAAUAUCAGACACGUAUUGACUUCCUUUGGUCCAUUGUUGGACUUUCUUGCUAUCAGUUCCGGUGACGGCCGAGCACUACUGUGUAUGCAACUAGGGUUUAUCAAGGAGUUAAUUACUGUUUUCGUCCCUGUGGGACGAAAACAGUAAUUAACUCGUUUAUCAAGGGAGGAGGGUUUUAUGAUGUGGAUUUGUGAGGGUAGCAGUUGCUAAAAAUUUGGAGAAGAAAGAGAUGGAGUUGGCAGUGGCUGGAAUUGGCGGUGGCCGGGGAUGAAGAAGUUGCAGAGAAGAAAGAGAUGGAGUUAGGUUUGAAGAGCUGGAGAAGUUUUUUUUGUAAGAUUUUAAUUUUUUAAAAUGGUUGGUUAUUUAUAUUAUCUACACAAUUAGUCCCUCUAAAUAUGAAUUGACAAAAUUGCCCUUAUGUGUUUUGAACA